rnacentral:rRNA from 1 species
AUUGAACGCUGGCGGCAGGCCUAACACAUGCAAGUCGGGCGAGAGGCGGACGGGUGAGUAAUGUAUGGGGAUGGGCCUGAUGGAGGGGGAUAACUAAUGGGAGCGGAAGCUAAUACCGCCUACCAUCGGCUACGCCCAUAUGGGAUUAGCUUGUAGGUGGGGUAAAGGCUGCCCGAGGCGACGAUCCCUAGCUGGUCUGAGAGGAUGAUCAGCCACACUGGGACUGAGACACGGCCCAGACUCCGCCGGGAGGCAGCAGUGGGGAAUAGUGCACAAUGGGCGAAAGCCUGAUGCAGCCAUGCCGCGUGUAUGAAGAAGGCCUUCGGGUUGUAAAGUACUUUCAGUUGGGAGGCGUUACCGACAGAAGAAGCACCGGCUAACUCCGUGCCAGCAGCCGCGGUAAUUC